AGUGUAUUUGACAAGCUGAAUUCAGACACUCCAUUCAUAAGAGUGUCAGUUUGUCAAAUACCCCAA
rnacentral:pre_miRNA from 1 species